ACGUUUUCCCCCAUCCUUCCCCCCCGGACACCAUGUCAUCCCCACCUUCUUUCCCCCAUCCCCUCCCACCGACUUUUUUCCCCGUCCUUCCCCCCCCAAAACACCAUAUCAUCCCCACCUCCUUCCUCUCUUUCCCACGCUCCCUUCUCCAACUUUUUUCCCCAUCCUUCCCCCCAGCAAAACGCACAUCAUUUCAUCCCCGCCUCCUCCCCUUCUCCUCCUUUCCCACCAACUUUUUUCCCACUCCUCCCCCCCACCAAAACGCCCACCGUAUCGUCUCCACCCCCUCUCUUUCCCCUCUUUCCCACGUCCCCUCCUUUCCCACCGACUUUUUUUCCCACUCCUUCCCCUCCCAAAACGCACCCCGCGUCGUCCCCACCGCCUCCCCCUCUCUUUCCCCCCCAUUCCCAAGUCCCUUCCUCCCCCUCCAACUUUUUUUCCCUAUCCUUUGGCCCCCAAACGCACACACGCACGCACACCGUAUCAUCCUACCCCGCCUCCCCCUUAAAAAAGAAAAUAAUAAUAAUAAGCGACUGAAGCCCUGGAUGCUCUGCACGGUAGCAGGUUGUGGAUUUUGAUGGAUUUAGCCGUAUGGAUUUGCACUGCAAGAAAAAUAAAAGUUUACGGGAAGAAAUCCAGGAAAAUCCGCUCCCCUCUCCCUUCCCCCCCCCCCCCCAAAUAAAAGUGGACGGGAAGAAAUCGGGGAAAAUCUGCUCUUCCCCUCCCUACCCCUUCGACAUUCCUUUGGAGACCGAUUUGCGUUUUUAGUCAGAGAGGUUUCCUAGUCCGUGACCGACCGCUAGAGAGAAAAUGCCCAAGGUCGCCACUUUUCCUUAGACGUUGGUUAAAACUUUGGUGGACCCCCCGGGAGGCCUUCCCACACCGGUGUAACGUUUAUUUGGCAGAGUGACGAGUGGCUUCGUUCAGCAUAAACCCUUUCCUCCCUCCAGAAAAGUGGCCGGUUCAUCCGGGGCCGGGUCCUGGCCCAGGCAAAUACGAAAAGAACAAAAACAACCGAGCUCGCAUUUUAUUGCCACCGGCCACGUAAACUUCAUAUUUCCUGUUUUUCUUUGAAGGGAAGGGUUCUGGGGCAAGAGGGGAGGGAAAUGGAGAGCUUCAUCUUUGCAGGACCCGGUUGGAAAACCCUGGGAGGAGAGGGAUUGGUUAAAUGUGCCAGGGAUGGAGCGCCGGGUCCUAUGUUAGUGACUUCUCAGACCCUCCAUCGAAAGUUCUCCGUGUGCCUUUAGUCGUCAAAAAUCACCUCACCCUCCCCACCCGUAGAUCCACCGUAACACAUCCUCCCGAAACCUCCAUCGUUCUCCCCCCAGAUACAUCCCCCCGGAGCACAGGGAUGAAGCGGAUGGAGGGGACGACGACAGAGCGCGCCUUCGCUCCCCUAUAACGCCUUGGUUUUGUGUCGCUUCUCCCGGGGUUUUCUUUCCCAAUUUACACACACACACACACACCCCGUCUCCCAUCCAUUUGACUUAGAUCGCUUUUUCUCUUUCACUAGCGGAGCCAAAUGAAGUGGAAAGAAAGAAAGCAAAAAAAAAAAAAAAAAAAAAGAAGAAGCCCUUUCUCAAUCCAUCCCUUUCUCCCUUUUGUUAAUAGAUUUCGGUGCGUUUCUUGACCUUAUCUUGGCGGAAAACGGUUAACUUUCCCCAAACAAAAGACUCCACAGGGAAUUUUAGGAGCGAGUCUUGAAACUAUUGGGGGUGGGGGGGGGGGGGACGGGACGCAACAAACUGUGAUGUUCAAGAAAAACAAAAAACAAACCGAAUUCAGCACAAAAGGCCCCCCCAACGGAAAAUGAUCGUUUUUAUGAAACUAAAAAAGUUUGAUUUGUUUUUCCUAGUUGAGUGAUAGGCAAGUUUUUGUUUUGGGGUGGUUUUUUUUUAAAAAAAAAAAGAAAGAAAAAAAACAAUAGACGCCCUUUCACUCCCGUAAAAUCAUGGUCCAGCAUCAGAUUAACAUUGCAUUCGAUUGCUAGGGUCUGAGACGCUACGCUUUUUAUUGUCUUCUCAAACGCCUCUGUCGUUUGAUUUCUACAUGUUUUUCGCGAGAUGAAUUAUGGUUUUUAAGAGGCAUAUUUAUUUGCCCUUUUUACAUUUUCCCAACGGUUGUCAAAAUGGUACGGACACUGAGCUUUGGGAUAUAUCAAGCUGCUUGUUAUUUCGAUUUUGGGGACUCGUUCUUAGUGAAGUAAUACCAGAGCAGGGCAAAGGUCCAGUGGUAAAGGGAGGAAAUUAACUUUCAGACGCUUAUUAAUAUGUGGGUAAGGUCAGAAAAUGGAGUUCAGGGGAUGUGUCUGUAGAUCUUUGAACUUAAAACAGGUUUACUCAAAAAAAAAAAAAAGUUACCACUCAAACCUUACCACUGUAUAUAUAUAAAUAUAUAUAUGUUUAAUAUUUGUCUUUUGAAACGCAAAAAUAGUUCAAAUGUUCCUUUGUCUAUUUUUCUUUUUUUUUAAAUGCUACCCAGGGAAAUAUUUUCAUAUCAUUUUGAAGUGGCCUGCCUCAAUGUAUAUUUAUUUCUUUUAAAGCAAAAAAGGUUCUGGAAACUGUUUUCUGUAGCUUUAAAUGAGUAGGUGAACAAAAUCUAUAUGGGAUGUAAUUUUUUUUUCUUUUGGUUCGGUCUCUUUAAAAAUACUUUGUUUUUGGUACAUUUGGAUGUGCUUGUGGGGAAAAAAUAAAAACGCAGAGAUCCUUAUAUAUUUAUGUUAAAGUAAUAUUUUAUUAUCUACAUAAAACAGAAAUGCACAAUACCUUCAUCGUUUGUUCUAAUUAUUGAAAAAAAUCUUUAUUUUAUUUUUUUUUAAAGAAUAUGUCCAAAUGGCCUAGCUCGUCCAUUUUUCAGGGGGGAGAGGAAAACCAGUGCCGCUCUCGACUGAGCUUUGAGUGAGAUGUAUAACGCCUCCCUGCCUUUAUACUUUGAAGUUUGGGGAAUCAAUUUUAGGCACAUACUGGCAGGUUUCUUGUUGAUAACUUCCCAACUCUUAGCCGCAUCCACGUUGCCUUUUCUCUCUCGGACUAUCAACGCGGCUCUGCCAAUCAACCCGCUUUUAGCAAUUUUGUCUUUUUCCGUGAAAUGGGCACAGGGGUGUCUUUCUUUGGUUUUGCCCGUCGUUUGUUGACUCCAGAAAGACACACGGACAUGGACAGUACAGAGAGAUUCCUAGAGAUAUUCACGCCGGAUUCUCCGCUCCAGGGUCUGAAUGCAUCUUUUUCUUUCCUUUUCUGUUGCUGUGUUUUGGGUGGUUGUUUUUUGUUGUUUGUUUUUUUUUUUUUCAGGGCGUUUAUCCUUUCCCUUCAUCUUUUGUCUUGAUUUGAGACCCGUCUUCCAAAAAGGAGGAACUUUCCUUCUAGGAAGAAAAAAAAGAAAAAAAAAAAAAGAAGUCAUCCCAGAGGGCUCUCGGUGAUAUUGGGGUAAUGUUAUUGUUAUAAUAGUAUUAUAAUAUUAUCGUGAUAAGCCUCAAGUGUUGACAGUCAGAACUAGGAAGACAGGGAGUGCGCCGGGAGAGUCCAGAAAGAAGCGUAUAAUGCCUCGAAUUUGCCACUGUGGAAUAAUAAUAAUGCUAUGCGUUAAGCGCUUACGAUGUGCCAGGCGCUGGAAUUGAACGGGGGGCUUUGAAACGGAGGGACGAAAAGGCGAUCCGAAGGAAACGGCCGAUGUGGGAGAAAUCCCAAGUGGGCUUUGUUAGGCUACACGUUCCGGG
rnacentral:lncRNA from 1 species